UGGGGACACUACAACGGCUUCAUGGGACCAAGCACUCAACCGUUGAAAGUGUUACCACACCUUAAAAAUUUCAGUGUUAGUAAGAGUCCGAAUCGGAAUCUGUUGAAUUUUUCGAAAUAAACAAAGCCAAAUUACGAUUGACCAAAAACCCAAAGACUACUGGAUCCUCACCAAUAAAAUACCACAAAAAAUAAGCAAAAUUAAAUGAAGUAAAUAUAAAACAU